GUCCACGCCGUAAACGAUGUCUACUAGCCGUUGGGGAACUUGAUUCUUUAGUGGCGCAGCUAACGCACUAAGUAGACCGCCUGGGGAGUACGGCCGCAAGGUUAAAACUCAAAUGAAUUGACGGGGGCCCGCACAAGCGGUGGAGCAUGUGGUUUAAUUCGAUGCAACGCGAAGAACCUUACCAGGCCUUGACAUCCCCGGAAGUUGGCAGAGAUGCCUUCGUGCCUUCGGGAACCGGGUGAC
rnacentral:rRNA from 1 species